GCCGAAAAAGUAGAGAAGAAAGAGGUCACUGGAUGCUGUUUUAGGAAGGAAGAUCAUUUCAUAGUGAAAAGUUGCUCAAGAAAGGCUACUCUAGAAGAAAACAGACUUCUGUGAGCGAUCCAAGCAGAAAUGACUGCUUUAAGAACUGAAUCAAGUAAUUGAGGACAAGUGGUUUUUGAUCAUUUAGAUGCUGAGAUUUUUGGUUGCUUAAAACUAGGGAAUGGGACUUCCCAGGCUAUUUGUUUGUGCUUUGCUCCACUUAUUUGUCUCUCAGAAGAGGAUGACCUUAGACCUUCAGGAUGUUCUUUCCCAGGUAGUCUUAGGACUAGAAGCCUCUGGAAACUCUGGCCUAAUAUACAAAUCAUGGAACCGAAAGAAUGACAGGUUCCUAGAAGAUCUAGAAUGGCCAUAUAACCAUGUUUUCAGUUUGUUCAGACUGGCAUCAUCAGUGAAAAUUCAUCAAUAAGAAUUACUAGAAGGAUCAAGCUAACCAGGACACGUUGGGAUUUAACAUGUGCUUUGGAUUGCUGCCUGAAAGUGGUGCCUAAAAGCUGUUUUCUCAGAGGAGUAGGGAAGUUGUUUUCCAUCUUGGUGUCUCCUCAGCUGGAGGAAUGAAGGUUCUUUGUGUCAUUGUGACUUCUCCUGGCCAGUGCUUAUUGCAAGAACUUUGAGUUGCCUCUGACACAUCUCCUUCUGAGAAGCCCUAUGCAUUGCUUCUCAGACAGAUUUCAGCCUUGGAUCGUCUCUUUGGAUUCUGCUUUUUCAUCACCAGCAAAGUAGCCAAGCAUAUGCAUGGUCUCUCCCAUACCUUCACCCACUGAAACUGGAACCAUAAGGAAAAGACCUCAGAAAAGAAGUAAAAGUGAGCUUUCCUAAAUCAGCCUGUUGAUGAGAUAGUCUGCCUCCUCAGUGAUACCCUAAAUUCUUAAGGGCUGGUCUGUCUUCUUUGACACCUAACCUAACAAAUAUUUGUAAUAUGGAGUUGAAGGACACUUUUUCUGGCUGAAAAUUCUGAUUUUUUUUUAUUCAUGCUUUAUGUCCAGAAUCUAGACUUGAAUGAGUCUGUUAUAUUGCAGCCUAUCUGGUAUUGUCUUAGGGGGAUCUUUGCCCAAGUAGAAGUGGCCAUGGUCUUGUCUAGAUUAAUCCCCAAUUCAUAAUAAACCAAUCUGUUCCCACUG